GACAGAGGGUGCAAGCGUUGUUCGGAAUUACUGGGCGUAAAGCGCGUGUAGGCUGCUUCGCAAGUCAGGUGUGAAACCUCCAGGCUCAACCUGGAGACGCCACUUGAUACUUCUAUGACUUGAGUUUGGUAGGGGAACACGGAAUUCCUGGUGUAGCGGUGAAAUGCGCAGAUAUCAGGAGGAACACCAACGGCGAAGGCAGCUUGCUGGGACGGUACUGACGCUGAGAUGCGAAAGCGUGGGGAGCAAACAGG
rnacentral:rRNA from 1 species